rnacentral:rRNA from 1 species
UACGUAGGAGACGAGCGUUGUCCGGAGUUACUGGGCGUAAAGGGCGUGCAGGCGGUGCGGUAAGUUUAGCGUGACAGUCUCCGGCUUAACUGGAGAAGGCCGCUGAAAACUGCUGGACUUGAGGGCCAGAGAGGGACAUAGAAUUCCGGGUGGAGUGGUGAAAUGCGUAGAUAUCCGGAGGAAUACCAAAGGCGAAGGCAGUGUCCUGGCUGGGCAACUGACGCU